rnacentral:tRNA from 1 species
GCCCGGAUGGCUCAGUGGCAGAGCACAAACUUGGUAAGUUUGGGGUCGAGGGUUCGAUUCCCUCUCCGGGCUCCA